UCGAGCGGACUAUAAAAAGGGGUAACUCUUUUUAUAGUUAGCGGCUGAACGGGUGAGUAACACGUGGGUAACCUGCCCUCAGGUGGGGGAUAACUCGGGGAAACCUGAGCUAAUACCCCAUAAGACUACGAGCUGAAAUGCUUGUAGUAAAAGGAGUAAUUCGCCUGAGGAUGGGCCCGCGGCCUAUCAGGUAGUUGGUAGGGUAAUGGCCUACCAAGCCUAUGACGGGUAGCCGAGCUGAGAGGCUGGCCGGCCACACUGGGACUGAGACACGGCCCAGACUCCUACGGGAGGCAGCAGUGGGGAAUAUUGGGCAAUGGGCGAAAGCCUGACCCAGCGACGCCGCGUGGGGGAAGAAGGCCUUCGGGUUGUAAACCCCUUUUGCAGGGGACGACACAGGACGGUACCCUGCGAAUAAGCCACGGCUAACUCUGUGCCACCAGCCGCGGUAAGACAGAGGUGGCAAGCGUUGCUCGGAUUCACUGGGCUUAAAGGGCGCGUAGGUGGUCUUGUAAGUCAAGGGUGGAAUUUCACAGCUUAACUGUGGAACUGCCUUUGAUACUGCAAGACUUGAGUCA
rnacentral:rRNA from 1 species